AUUGAACGCUGGCGGCAUGCCUUACACAUGCAAGUCGAACGGCAGCACGGGAGCAAUCCUGGUGGCGAGUGGCGAACGGGUGAGUAAUAUAUCGGAACGUGCCCAGUCGUGGGGGAUAACGUAGCGAAAGCUACGCUAAUACCGCAUACGAUCUAUGGAUGAAAGCGGGGGAUCGCAAGACCUCGCGCGAUUGGAGCGGCCGAUAUCAGAUUAGGUAGUUGGUGAGGUAAAGGCUCACCAAGCCGACGAUCUGUAGCUGGUCUGAGAGGACGACCAGGCACACUGGGACGGAGACACGGCCCAGACUCCUACGGGAGGCAGCAGUGUGGAAUUUUGGACAAUGGGCGCAAGCCUGAUCCAGCAAUGCCGCGUGCAGGAUGAAGGCCUUCGGGUUGUAAACUGCUUUUGUACGGAACGAAACGGCGAGCUCUAAUACAGUUUGCUAAUGACGGUACCGUAAGAAUAAGCACCGGCUAACUACGUGCCAGCCGCCGCCGUAA
rnacentral:rRNA from 1 species